UCCCGUUAGAAGAUACAGAGUUCUAGAGUCAGGACUGCAGUUAAGGGAAUGGCACUUGUGUAAGACGCACAAACUUUCCAAAUAUUUUCUUGACUUAGAGGAUCAAAUGUAUUGACAUAAACAACUUUCUUUGAUGGCUAGCCAAGACUCUGUCCUGCCACAGAUCUCUCCUCCUACUCUUUCAUUUCUUACCCCAAGGAGCAGUAAACAUGAAUUCUGACCCACCAAUGCAACCCCAGAACUGAGAAGAUAUACACUGCAGCUAAACAGUAGGUAGAAAUAAAAACACUGCCUCAACUCGAUGCUAUUAAAUGUGCUGGGAAGACAGUCUCCAAGACAAAGGAUAAAUAACCUACAUAAUGAAGAAUUAGUUAGCAGUGUUAUGUAAAUAUUGUAGCAGCAUCAAUGAGGAGGAUUAUUUUUGCACCUUUGGAAAGCAACUGAAAAAGGAAGCUUGGAAAAAGUGCUUCCUAACAAAGCAGCUUAAACUGUAAGAAAGAACUGAUUCAAGAUACAAGAAUGGAUUUAAGAUAGAAGACUAAAACAUAGGUAUAAAUGAUAUCCUCUUUGUUUUUGGCUUUUUUGCAAUGCUGUAUAUUCUUGUCAGUUCAGUGAAAUGUUAAAAUGGCAAAGGAUGAAAAUGUUUUUGAUUAUUGCACAGAAUUUUAGAUAGUCACUGCAUCCAGAAACAACACAUGUAAUGGGUAAAGUUGGGUGAGUGGAUAAUG